CUAAGCCAUGCGAGUCAUUGUAGCAAUACAAGGCAGACGGCUCAGUAACGCGUAGUCAACCUAACCUAUGGACGGGAAUAACCUCGGGAAACUGAGAAUAAUGCCCGAUAGAACACUAUACCUGGAAUGGUUUGUGUUCCAAAUGAUUUAUCGCCGUAGGAUGGGACUGCGGCCUAUCAGUUUGUUGGUGAGGUAAUGGCCCACCAAGACUAUUACAGGUACGGGCUCUGAGAGGAGUAGCCCGGAGAUGGGUACUGAGACACGGACCCAGGCCCUAUGGGGCGCAGCAGGCGAGAAAACUUUGCAAUGUGCGAAAGCACGACAAGGUUAAUCCGAGUGAUUUGUGCUAAACGAAUCUUUUGUUAGUCCUAGAACCACUAACGAAUAAGGGGUGGGCAAGUUCUGGUGUCAGCCGCCGCGGUAAAACCAGCACCUCAAGUGGUCAGGAUGAUUAUGGGGCCUAAAGCAUCCGUAGCCGGCUCUGUAAGUUUUCGGUUAAAUCUGUACGCUUAACGUACAGGCUGCCGGGAAUACUGCAGAGCUAGGGAGUGGGAGAGGUAGACGGUACUCGGUAGGAAGGGGUAAAAUCCUUUGAUCUAUUGAUGACCACCUGUGGCGAAGGCGGUCUACCAGAACACGUCCGACGGUGAGGGAUGAAAGCUGGGGGAGCAAACCGGAUUAGAUACCCGGGUAGUCCCAGCUGUAAACUAUGCAAACUCAGUGAUGCAUUGACUUGUGGUCAAUGCAGUGCUGCAGGGAAGCCGUUAAGUUUGCCGCCUGGGAAGUACGUACGCAAGUAUGAAACUUAAAGGAAUUGGCGGGGGAGCACCACAAGGGGUGAAGCCUGCGGUUCAAUGGGAGUCAACGCCGGAAAUCACU
rnacentral:rRNA from 1 species